UGCUCGAGUGGCGAACGGGUGAGUAACACGUGAGUAACCUGCCCUUGACUUUGGGAUAACUUCAGGAAAUUGGGGCUAAUACCGGAUAGGAGCUCCUGCUGCAUGGUGGGGGUUGGAAAGUUUCGGCGGUUGGGGAUGGACUCGCGGCUUAUCAGCUUGUUGGUGGGGUAGUGGCUUACCAAGGCUUUGACGGGUAGCCGGCCUGAGAGGGUGACCGGCCACAUUGGGACUGAGAUACGGCCCAG
rnacentral:rRNA from 1 species